rnacentral:rRNA from 1 species
CGUGGGUAAUCUGCCCUGAUGAUUGGGACAACCCCGGGAAACCGGGGGCUAAUACCAAAUGUGCUCUUUCCACAUCAGUGGAUCGAGGAAAGGAGGCUUCGGCUUCCGCAUCGGGAUGAGCCCGCGGCCCAUUAGCUUGUUGGUGGGGUAAUGGCCUACCAAGGCUUCGAUGGGUAGCUGGUCUGAGAGGACGAUCAGCCACACUGGGACUGAGACACGGCCCAG